AUGGAAUAAAUGGCAACAGUCUCCUUCUUUUCUUUUGAUACACCAAUGAACGUCUCCGUCGUUUUCUAGAAUCUUGAAAACAGCUCGAGAGGAGGGAAUGAAAACAUCAACUUAAAAUCAGCAAAUCUAAUUCAACUAGUUUAUGCAUUAGCAGCAACAUUUCUUGACUUCAAAGGAAAUGUUCAUAUGCAAUACAAAGCAACAAGAUAAGCAAUAAACGAAAAUUACAGCUUCAAAGGUGCAGCAAAAAACAGGCAAUGUGGUGAAAAAAUACGUGAUAGCAUUCAUGGCAACUAAUAAGCAAAAAUAGAUCAGACAAAUAGGAAGUAAAUGACAAGACCCCAAACUAUUUGUGCCAUGGAAGUCCAUGCAUUAGGAGAAACAAUUCAAAGGAAGCAACAAAAUGAUGUGACAAAACAGCAACUACCUGUAUUAUAAAGCUUACCUUUUUAUCUAGGUCUUAAAGAAAAGGUUUUGAGAAUAUAUCAUAAUUCAUAAGUUCGAUGCUUUAUUAUGGGAGUCAAUGGCACAUGGAUACAUAAUAUUUGGAAAAAAAUACUGUAAUGGAAAGAAAUGAUGACUGCUGUCUCUAUAUUAUGUUGCAGUACCACUACUAAACACAUGUUUAUGGGUAGCUAAGUACUACAAUCCUUUUUUACAUGAACCAUGGCAUACAAGGUAAUGCAUAUGCAUCAAAAUAAAAUUCCUAAAGAAUAGCAAGUGCAUACAUAAAUACAGACAAUCAGUGUCACAUAACAAAGCAUCAAUGAUCACACUCAAGAUAUCGAACCCACUAAUUUAGCACAUGAUGGGUAAAUGGUUGAUGCAAGUAAAAUGUAAUCAUGUCAAAUUUAUGAUUGAUGAAGUAUCCUAAGACACGAAACAUAAGUUUGCUGAUUAAGAGAUGAAUGUUCUUAGGAUAGGCCAAGUAUAAGGCAUGAUCUUCCUCGAACCAUCUGAUUCAACAUGUAAUGCAACAAUUUGCCUGUUGUACAAAGUAAUUGUCUGAUGGACUUAUCUGAGACAUGAUUAGAUUGUGAGCUACCACCAUAAACCUAAGUCACGCCAAGGUUAUGGAUCCUUUUCUCAUUUAAGAAGCAGUUUAUCAUUUGCUUCGGUAAACUUUAAUCAUCAAUUAACCCUAUUUAGUAUUAUUUUGU